AUUUAUGUAGUUUAAUAAAAAUAUUGAUUUGUGGAGUCAAAGAUAUUUAAAAAUCAUAAAUU
rnacentral:tRNA from 1 species